UCCCGUACCCGUUCGUCUUUCUUUCCCAUGUGUCUCUCUCCCCUAUCCCUCUCACCCGCGCCAGCAGCCUCCUCACGUUGCCGUCGUCGCCUGUCCCUCUCCUACCCCUCUGCCCCAGCGCCGCCUCCUUCCCCCCUCCUCCUCCCUGCUAACCGCAGCCCUCCAGAUUGGCGGCGCCGCCCCAUCUUCUCCUCGCUAUUCUCCGUCCGCCGCUGAAGCCCUUCGUCUGCCUCGCCAGAGCCGUUGCUCCUCCGCCGCCAAAGCUCUUCCACCACCGCCGCCGACUCCUUCUUGGACCCCGCCAAGCCCCACAUGUCUUCCGCAGCCGACCCAAUUCCCGUCGCGUCCGCCGCAAUCACCGCUCGCACCCGCCACCCCUCCCCUCCUCCUACCAGGCUACCAUCUGGUCUGGCAGCCCCACGAGCUUCGUCCCCCCGGCUAAACCUCCCCCGAGAUCCCGCUGGUCCGACUCACCGGACGGGAAGCAGCAGGCCCCCGUGGCGAGCGAGUGAGCGAGGGAUGGCGGUGGCGACGGUGCGGACGCUGAACAGCGGGCACCAGAUGCCAGUGAUGGGUUGGGCAUCUGGCGGAUGGACACCCGGCCAUCCUCGGCCUCAUCCAUUCCGCCCUCCUCGCUGGGUAGUGGGUACCGUCGGCAGGGUGGGGUACAAGUAAACGGAGGCCAUGACGACGACGGCCACGACGAGUGGACGACGGCUACGGCGGCCCAAUUGUGGUGCCGGUGAGGAAUUGAGUUCAGGGAUAUGCCACUUAGAAAGGUGAGAAUUGUUCCUUUGAUUGGCGCUAUUGGAAGACAAAGCUAAGGUCAUAGAAGGAUUGGAGAUCGAAAUUCUAUUGCUUAAUUCUUCUGAAGAGGGUGGUUUGAUGUCAGAUAUUGAAAAACUAAAUAAUAGUACUAAAAUGGUAUGUAAUGGCAAUGGAUAUCUCGAAGCAGAGAUACUUAAGUUAAGUGACAGGCUUCAGAUGGCAAUGGCGUUAGCUGAGGAGAAUGAAGCUGCUGCGAUUGAAGCUAGGCAAGAUGCAAAGAUAAGCAAAAUCUAUGCCAAAGAGAGAGAGAUGAGGAUGUCACGAUUCUUGAACGUUCUAUCGAGGAGCUUGAAUCUACAAUAACUGUUCUCAAGGGACAAGGCGUCAUAGCUGGAGCGGCUGGUGUUGCGGUGGAGGCGUUGUCAUGGAAGAAAGGGGAAGUUUUGAUGCAUAUCUUCGAGGGUGUCAUUUAGGCCUCAUUCGUUUCACAGGAAUUUCAUAGAAAACUCAAAGGAUUCAGGAUCUCAUAAGAAAAAUUACCGUAGAUGCAUUCGUGUCAUAGAAAACAAGCAAAUUAGUUUCUUAGAAAUCUCAUGGAAUUCCUUUGUUUUCUUAGGAAAAUGAACAUUAGGUCCAACAUCUUUUUUCCAUAGAAAUGAAGUUGAAACAAUUCCUUUGGAUGGCAAGUGUCGUCCUAUGACAAUUCUAAGUUUUGCUCGUUUUAAUUUUUUUAAACCGAA